AUGGAAAAUAUGGCAGACGAAAACCCAGAGGUUGACGACGAAGUGAUUGUGGAAUUGCUAUUAAAGGAAAUUACCGAAUUGGUUAUUGACCAAGGACUAUUGUCUGGCAAGGCUUUAAAAGAAGAUCGAGUCACUAACUUUGUCCAUCCAGAAAAACUUAAGAAGUUGGUAGAUCUAUCGCUAGGUGACUCUCCUCUGAGUCACGGUGAAAUAUUUGAAUUGUGUAAACGAGCUGUCGAGUACAGUGUACGUACCAAUCAUCCAAAAUUUCUGAAUCAACUGUAUCAUGGAGCGGACCCUGUUGGACUUGCAGGAGCUUGGCUUUCUGAAGCUCUUAAUACAAAUUUAUACACAUAUGAAGUAGCACCAUUUUUUAUGAUGGUUGAACAUGAAGUCCUGGCUCAUCUUAGAAGUUUCAUUGGAUGGGAAGAUGGUGAUGGAAUAUUUACUCCAGGAGGGAGUUUGGCCAACAUGUAUGGAAUGGUUCUUGCCCGUUUCAACAAGUUCCCUGAAGUGAAGACCAAAGGAAUGGGCAACAUAGGAGAACUUGUGGCCUUUACAUCACAGGAGGGCCAUUAUUCUAUCCUUAAAGCUGCCCAUUGGAUUGGUUUAGGAACUGAUAAUCUCGUCAUGGUAGCCUCUGAUAGUUCUGGCAGAAUGAUUCCUGCUGAAUUGGAAAAUAAGAUUGUAAAGGCUCUGGAACAGAAAAAAGUGCCAUAUUUUGUCAAUGCGACAGCCGGAACCACUGUUUUUGGAGCUUUUGACCCUUUAGAGCCCUUAGCUUUUAUAUGUAAAAAAUACGAUCUCUGGCUUCACGUCGAUGCUGCUUGGGGAGGAGGCGCUCUGGUCUCCCAAAAACAUCGUUCCUUAAUGCAAGGCAUAGAAAUGGUCGACUCUGUGGCUUGGAAUCUCCACAAAAUGUUAGGAGCUCCAUUGCAAUGCUCAGCUUUUUUGACGAAACAUACGAAUGUUUUUCAUCGAUGCAAUAGUGCUUCGGCCACGUAUCUUUUCCAAACAGACAAGUAUUAUGAUAUGCGUUAUGAUACGGGUGAUAAAAGCAUCCAGUGUGGCCGAAAAGUUGAUGCUUUCAAAUUGUGGUUAAUGUGGAAGGCUCGAGGGAACAGAGGUCUGGAGAAAAUGGUACUUCACACGUCAGCUCUCCCUCCGGCCAGGAUUUCGACUAGUCAUUGCGGAACCUAGCUGUACGAAUGUUUGUUUUUGGUACAUUCCGCCCAGGUGGAGAAACUUGCCAGAGUCGCCAGAAUGGUGGGGAAAACUUUCUAAGGUUGCACCUGCAAUAAAGAAACGAAUGGUGGAGAAAGGAUCUCUCAUGGUCAGCUACCAACCCUUAGUCCACAAGAACAUGGUAAACUUUUUCCGUUUAGCUCUUCAUUGUCAGCCGCCCCCUACCCACGAAGAUAUGGAUU
rnacentral:misc_RNA from 1 species